rnacentral:rRNA from 1 species
UACAGAGGGUGCGAGCGUUAAUCGGAAUUACUGGGCGUAUAGGGCGCGUAGGCGGUCUUGUAAGUUGGAUGUGAAAUCCCUGGGCUUAACCUGGGAACUGCAUUCAAAACUGCUUGACUAGAGUUUGGUAGAGGGUAGUGGAAUUCCCGGUGUAGCGGUGAAAUGCGUAGAUAUGUGGAGGAAUACCGAUGGCGAAGGCAGCCCCCUGGGUCGAUACUGACGCUCAUGCACGAAAGCGUGGGGAGCAAACAGG